AUUGAACGCUGGCGGCAUGCCUUACACAUGCAAGUCGAACGGCAGCACGGGUGCUUGCACCUGGUGGCGAGUGGCGAACGGGUGAGUAAUACAUCGGAACAUGUCCUGUAGUGGGGGAUAGCCCGGCGAAAGCCGGAUUAAUACCGCAUACGAUCUUCGGAUGAAAGCGGGGGACCUUCGGGCCUCGCGCUUUAGGGUUGGCCGAUGGCUGAUUAGAUAGUUGGUGGGGUAAAGGCCUACCAAGGCGACGAUCAGUAGCUGGUCUGAGAGGACGACCAGCGACACUGGGAGUGAGACACGGCCCAGACUCCUACGGGAGGCAGCAGUGGGGAAUUUUGGACAAUGGGCGAAAGCCUGAUCCAGCAAUGCCGCGUGUGUGAAGAAGGCCUUCGGGUUGUAAAGCACUUUUGUCCGGAAAGAAAUCCUUGGCCCUAAUACGGUCGGGGGAUGACGGUACCGGAAGAAUAAGCACCGGCUAACUACGUG
rnacentral:rRNA from 1 species